rnacentral:rRNA from 1 species
UACGUAGGGGGCAAGCGUUGUCCGGAAUCAUUGGGCGUAAAGAGCGUGUAGGCGGUCCGGUAAGUCCGCUGUGAAAGUCGGGGGCUCAACCCUCGAAUGCCGGUGGAUACUGUCGGGCUAGAGUGCGGAAGAGGCGAGUAGAAUUCCUGGUGUAGCGGUGAAAUGCGCAGAUAUCAGGAGGAACACCUAUUGCGAAGGCAGCUCGCUGGGACGUAACUGACGCUGAGACGCGAAAGCGUGGGGGAGCAAACAGG